rnacentral:rRNA from 1 species
GACGCACGCUGGCGGCGUGCCUAAUACAUGCAAGUCGAACGCAGUGGGGACUGGUGAGUAACCCGUGGGUAACCUCCCAUCAGAGGGGAUAACACUUGGAAACAGGUGCUAAACCGCUCCUGCUGUAUGGACACGCGGUGCAUUAGCUAGUUGGUGAGUUAACGGCUCACCAAGGCCACGAUGCAUCGCGGAUCUGAGAGGCUGAUCGGCCACAAUGGGACGGAGAAACGGUCCAGACUCCUACGGGAGGCAGAAGUAGGGAAUAUUCGGCAAUGGACGAAAGUCUGACCGAGAAACGCCGCGGGUGUGAAGAAGGGUUUCGGAUCGUAAAACUCUGUUGGUAGAGAAGCGGUAUCUAACCAGAAAGCCACGGCUAACUACGUGCCAGCAGCCGCGGUAAUAC